CACUAAAAAGCACCCGAUUCCCGCCGGUGAUCGUGUAUGUUCGGAGAAAAAUUCGGACGUUUGACGUGAAUGACAAGAAUAACGACACGAAUGUUCCCGCUUUUUUUGUGUUUGUUGGUUGUUUACUUUCGUAAAAAAGCUCCAACUAAUUUGAUCAAUUAUUGCGAUUAUACUGAACUUGUUUCUUUGUGAAAUAUUGACCGUAUUGUUGCUUAUAGUGUUUUAAAAUAAUACCUGAAAAGCUGUAUUAAUUCCAAUCCAGCGAUUUUAUCUGUAAAGAUGGACGGCCCUACUCAAAACCAUCAGAAUCAGGACCAAACUAUCAACAAAAAUAUGUGCCACUCAUGCAGUAAAAUGUUUUCUUCCAUUUCAGCUAAGAACAAACAUAUUAAAGUUAUUCAUAAGCAGCAGCUCUCAGAUAACUCAAAGUCACACAUUUCUUGUCCCAUAUGCAAAGAGACUAAGUAUUCUUGUAAGACUUAUCAAAGACUUGAAGCUCAUUUACAGGUAAGUCAGGAUAUCAAAAUAGAGUCCUCAACUUUCCAUUUUUCCAGCGAAGACAGAUUUGAGGAAUGGUUAAGAGAGCAUAAAAUAAGCACAAACUAUGCACUUGUUCGCACAAGGAAAAUUGAAAAUGUAUAUUGUUGCAAUUGAAGCAAUUUUAGAGGUGAACUCCUUGGGGAAUGUUCUUCCAAUAAUAUUGAAGCCAGCCAUAGCCUAGAAAUUGAAACAUUUGUUAAUGAGAAGACAACUGAAAAUCAACAAGUAGCAGUACAACGAUUGAACAACAAGAGAAAUUGAAAUUGAAAGUGUAUCAAACUUUUUAAGAUCUUUAAAUGAUGAAACUUAUGAUAUGUGCAUGAGACAACUGGCAUCAAUGAUGGAACAGAUAAAUAAGACAAAUACAAGUAAACAAAAAGUGGACAAACAAGUUUAUUUUCCAUCAAAGAAGAAGAAGAAGGAGCAGUAAAUAAAAAUAAUAAAUUGUAUAUUUUUUUCUAUUUAUCAGUAUUUUUUUUAUGUUAUAGUAGGUAUAUUUUUAUAGGUUUUAAUAUAUAUGUAUGUAUAUGUGUAUUAUAAUUUUUUAUGUAAG